AUUGAACGCUGGCGGCAGGCCUAACACAUGCCAGUCGAACGGUAACAGGAAGAAGCUUGCUUCUUUGCUGACGAGUGGCGGACGGGUGAGUAAUGUCUGGGAAACUGCCUGAUGGAGGGGGAUAACUACUGGAAACGGUCGCUAAUACCGCAUAACGUCGCAAGACCAAAGAGGGGGACCUUCGGGCCUCUUGCCAUCGGAUCUGCCCAGAUGGGAUUAGCUAGUAGGUGGGGUAACGGCUCACCUAGGCGACGAUCCCUAGCUGGUCUGAGAGGAUGACCAGCCACACUGGAACUGAGACACGGUCCAGACUCCUACGGGAGGCAGCAGUGGGGAAUAUUGCACAAUGGGCGCAAGCCUGAUGCAGCCAUGCCGCGUGUAUGAAGAAGGCCUUCGGGUUGUAAAGUACUUUCAGCGGGGAGGAAGGGAGUAAAGUUAAUACCUUGGCUCAUUGACGUUACCCGCAGAAGAAGCACCGGCUAACUACGUG
rnacentral:rRNA from 1 species